rnacentral:rRNA from 1 species
GAUGAACGCUAGCUACAGGCUUAACACAUGCAAGUCGAGGGGCAGCAUGGUCUUAGCUUGCUAAGGCCGAUGGCGACCGGCGCACGGGUGAGUAACGCGUAUCCAACCUGCCUUACACUCUUGGACAGCCUUCUGAAAGGGAGAUUAAUACAAGAUGUUAUCAUGAGUAAGCAUUUUCGCAUGAUUAAAGGUUUACCGGUGUAAGAUGGGGAUGCGUUCCAUUAGAUAGUAGGCGGGGUAACGGCCCACCUAGUCUUCGAUGGAUAGGGGUUCUGAGAGGAAGGUCCCCCACAUUGGAACUGAGACACGGUCCAAACUCCUACGGGAGGCAGCAGUGAGGAAUAUUGGUCAAUGGACGAGAGUCUGAACCAGCCAAGUAGCGUGAAGGAUGAAGGUUCUAUGGAUUGUAAACUUCUUUUAUACGGGAAUAAACGGAUCCACGUGUGGAUUUUUGCAUGUACCGUAUGAAUAAGGAUCGGCUAACUCCGUGCCAGCAGCCGCGGUAAUACGGAGGAUCCGAGCGUUAUCCGGAUUUAUUGGGUUUAAAGGGAGCGUAGAUGGGUUGUUAAGUCAGUUGUGAAAGUUUGCGGCUCAACCGUAAAAUUGCAAUUGAUACUGGCAGUCUUGAGUACAGUUGAGUAGGGGCGGAAUUCGUGGUGUAGCGGUGAAAUGCUUAGAUAUCACGAAGAACUCCGAUUGCGAAGGCAGCUUACUAACCUGUAACUGACAUUGAUGCUCGAAAGUGUGGGUAUCAAACAGGAUUAGAUACCCUGGUAGUCCACACGGUAAACGAUGAAUACUCGCUGUAGGCGAUAUACAGUCUGCGGCCAAGCGAAAGCAUUAAGUAUUCCACCUGGGGAGUACGCCGGCAACGGUGAAACUCAAAGGAAUUGACGGGGGCCCGCACAAGCGGAGGAACAUGUGGUUUAAUUCGAUGAUACGCGAGGAACCUUACCCGGGCUUAAAUUGCAACCGAAUAUGGCGGAAACGCUAUAGCUAGCAAUAGCGGUUGUGAAGGUGCUGCAUGGUUGUCGUCAGCUCGUGCCGUGAGGUGUCGGCUUAAGUGCCAUAACGAGCGCAACCCUUGCCGAUAGUUACUAACAGGUUAUGCUGAGGACUCUGUCGGGACUGCCAUCGUAAGAUGUGAGGAAGGUGGGGAUGACGUCAAAUCAGCACGGCCCUUACGUCCGGGGCUACACACGUGUUACAAUGGGGGGUACAGAGGGCUGCUACCACGCAAGUGGAUGCCAAUCCCAAAAACCUCUCUCAGUUCGGAUUGAAGUCUGCGACCCGACUUCAUGAAGCUGGAUUCGCUAGUAAUCGCGCAUCAGCCACGGCGCGGUGAAUACGUUCCCGGGCCU